rnacentral:rRNA from 1 species
UACAGAGGGGGCAAGCGUUGUUCGGAAUUACUGGGCGUAAAGGGCGCGUAGGCGGCCACCGCAAGUCGACUGUGAAAUCUCCGGGCUUAACCCGGAAAGGUCAGCCGAUACUGCGGGGCUAGAGUGCAGAAGGGGCAACUGGAAUUCUCGGUGUAGCGGUGAAAUGCGUAGAUAUCGAGAGGAACACCUGCGGCGAAGGCGGGUUGCUGGGCUGACACUGACGCUGAGGCGCGAAAGCCAGGGGAGCGAACGGG